GCACAGGAUUACCACCUCAAAAAUGGUAUUGGAUCUUGUCAGAUCUUGGAAGCUAAGCAAGGCUGCGCCAAUCAGUACUGGAAUGGGAGACCUCCAAAGAAGAACAGGUAACUUCUGCA
rnacentral:rRNA from 1 species